AAUCAACUAAGCGUUCACAAAUGUGGUCAAUUUGACACGAACCGCUGUGUCGACAAGAUAAAUCCACGCAGCAAAGACACUGGACAGCGACACAACUGGUUACGAAGUUACAAAGAGUGGCAGCCAAGAAACGUGAUUAUCUUCUGAACAAAUGGUCGCCGACGACAGCUGAAAUUGUGUUAUUAGGAUAAAAGGACUAUUAUUUAAAAACAAAAAAUGAGUUACAUUAUAUUGGAUAUUUUGAAUAUCAGUCAAUUUUUAAGAGCCAAUUACAAGACUGGCGAUAUCUGCAGAACGUAUAAUAUUUAAAGUUUGACAUUUUGAGAUUCGGAACUUCUGUGUACUUCUUUAUAAAUAACAUUCACUUUG